rnacentral:tRNA from 1 species
AAGAAAGAAGCAUAAGUGGUUUAGUAUGCAAUUGGCUUGAAACCAAUGGGUGAGGGUUCGAUUCCUU